AAUAAUUUCAUGUUUUAGUCUAUUUUAAUAGUAAUAAAGAAAAUGUUUAAUAUUUAGUUAAGAAAUCGUGUGAGAUAGCAUUGUGGAAUAUUACAGCAUUUAAAUUUCCCGCGACAAAAUGGGCGCGCAGCGGUGCAUCCGAAAAAUCAAAAUUUACCGCCAGUAAUUCCGAGCUUUUUUGUUAAAAGCAGUUUUUAUAUGUUAAUUCAAUGUUGGGAUGUAUUUUUAAGAUUUUUACAAUAUUAUAUUAUAAAUUUCAAUUUUGAAACUUAUUUUAUAUUUCUUAAAAUAUUUCGACACUUGACUCGAGUAGUAAUGGCCGCCAUUACGAAUUCGUUCGCGAAGUGCCGAAGGAAGAGAUAAUUAGUACGGAUAAUAAAAGUAAAAAUGGAUGGAGUAACUGCACGUAACCUGUUGCUACUAAUAAUUAAGUGGUAUACGCUUAACGUAAGCGGUUUCCCAUGCGCCGUUUAAAUUACACGCUUUAUCAAAGAGCCAGCUGAUUAACGAAGCUCCAACCGCGUGACAUUUUCCCGUUACCGUAACUACAGAUUUUAUAUAAUACAUUCAGCGUGUACGUUUUCUUUUUCAAAAAUGGUGAUGAAACGACAGGAAGGAAUCCGGGUAACCGGAUCGGAUCAUACGAAAAAAUAAAAAGGAAGCAAAACUGUUUUAUCGACGAUGAGUAAACCCCGUUAGUUUAUACAUAAUGUCCAGUCGACUACAAUUUGCUCCAGAUCUCGUUGCCAUGCAUGGACGUCUACCUUCGCUCCACGGAAACAAAGAAUGAUAAAUACAGAACAUAAAUGGUUCUACAUUUUCUAUGAAGCAACUGGUUGUUGGAGGAGACCAUAGGGGCAUUGUUUUUAUGAAAGAUUGUUGAGUUUAUGAUUCAAGGAUUAAUUUGUUACAAGGAUACACUUGAAACUCAUUGCAAAGUGAUGAAGAACAAAGUAAAGAGCACAAUAAACCACAUUGCGGUUAUGUAUAAUAGAAUGAAGAUCUAGCAGCAACUAGACUGGACAGUCGUUAUUGGAGCAUCAAUAAAAAGCCAAGUUAUUGUUCUCCAAUAAAGUCACGACAGUUACGCGAUCCAGCGUGGGCCUCGUGGCUCGAUCCUUGGAUCGAUAACGCGAAAUCUCGUCUACGUUUCUCUCCCCGGGCACUUUCCAUCAGCGUCACGAGAAACCACUUUAUUUAUACCCAGAAAAUUCUUUUUCCAUCGUAGCCCACAAGUGGUGCUCGCUUGCCGGUACGUUCUAAUAUGCAAGCGUGGGCGUUAUCCCCCCCCCCCACCAUCCAAGAAUCUCCUACAGAACCAACAAUCGCGAAACCCUAAGUUGUAAUAAAACCAUUGUACGUGUUUGAACGAUCGUUCGACAAUAACCAUUUGUAGAAUACGAAUCAAGGAGUUGUUCGCAUGAACUUUAAGUAUUCAUGAUAUGUACACGCACGUGGUUCUUCGAGAUACCGGUCCGAGUGCCGUGAACUGUUACACGGCCUGCAAUCAGUAUUAACACGUCCCACAUAUUACGUAGGAUGAUAUUUGCUAUAAACAAUGAAGAAUGCACUUUGUAUUCAAAAAUAAUGAUAAUAGAAUAGAGAGCGGAGAAGGUAAGGGAACGAUUAAUCUCGUAUCACCUCCGCUGAAAAAAGUUACUAUUUGUUUACCCCAUUUCUUCCCAAACGCGAAGUUUGACUUCACAAAAUGCACAAGCUCCCUGUCUAUGUGUUUAUAUUUCACAAUUAGUCAUAAAAAUUUUAAUUUAAAAAUAAUUAUUAAUAAGAACACUUGGUGAAAAAAAAAUUAAUGAAAACAUGAAAGAAAUGUCGGGGGGUUUUUCAAAAUUUCAUGAGUGACGCCAUCAAUCUUGGUCAGUUUUUUCAUAUAAUCAACAAUGUUGUAAAUUUUGAGCAAAUAAAAAAAUUUUUUAUUUUUUUACCAGGAAACUUCCAUACUGCUAGUUUUUAAUAUUUACAAUGUUAUUUCAAUUAUUUUAAAGUGAAAUUAAUGACAAAAUACCAUAUUUUUUUACAAUUUUUAUUUUUGGGAAGAAAUGGGUUAGGUUAGGUUAGGUUGGGAAGAAAUGGGUUACUGAAUUGCAGAUUGUCGAGUUUGUGAUUCAAGGAUUAAUUUAUUCAGGUAGAAAACUGUUGAAGCAUGAAGGAGAGAGCUGUUGGCGAAAAACGCUGACACAUAAAUAUGCUAGAGGGUUGAAAGGUUUGAAAAGCUUAGCAAAAAAAAGCUUCCCUGAUAAAGGUAUUCUAAAGUGAAAAUCGAGGCCAAGCUGGAGGGAGUGAUUUCCAUAGCUUUUGCAAUGAACCAACAAUAUAUCCCAGCCGCCUGGUGGCGGAGCUGGUUGCCAGGCAGCGGGUUUCGUCCAGAAACCGAGGGAAACGCGAAGUUGCGUGAGGCGUCGGAUAUUUAUUGUAUACAUUGAGCAACGAUUAUGAAACGAAGCGCUGUGCAGGGAUAGAAAAUUUCUCCCUUACGUUACAUGCACGAUUUUUUUUUUAAUGGGUCUGAUGAGUCUGUAAAAUACAUGAAGCGGUGAUUGCACACCGUAUCAGGAACGGAAUACGGCUCCUGGAGCCCAGGACUAACCUUUAACCCUUUAUUCACUGAAUUUCUUGAAAGUUUUUAAAAUUUGUGCCAACCUUUUUAAAUACUUAAUAAACACCCUAUGGCACAAUUUUCAUUAUAAGUCUUCACCAAGGUCAUUAAUUACAUGGAAAAUAAUUUGGGACUUCGAAGUCCCGGAAGCACAUAAUAUUUGAAAUUUUUAAUUUUAUCAAAUAAUUCUGUGCAUAAUAUAAAAAAAUAGUCAAUAUUUUUGUGCUGCCA